rnacentral:lncRNA from 1 species
CCUGCAAGGGUGACCCCGGGAUCUGCAGCCCCUGAAGGUGCCACGUGCUGCCUUUCCCUGGGACAGGAUGGACAUUUCCCAUGGUGUGGAUCCUGCUCACCCUGGACAGAGGUGGAUGGAAUGGGCAGCAGAAACACAGAGAAGAGGGAUGGAGGGCUGGGAGAGCAGGAUUCGUCCGGGAGCUCCCCUCUGGAUGAGAAAAGUAACAUUUCCCCCCCAAGGACGUGAACAACCAGAACUCUGUGGUGCACCAGAUACAUACAAUGACACGAGUUAUUUUCCUUUUGUGUGUAUUUAAACUAUAUAACAGGAUUCACU